rnacentral:piRNA from 1 species
GUUGAUGAUAGUCUAAUGUUGCA